GACGCUGGCGGCGUGCCUAACACAUGCAAGUCGAACGGGGUGUCGAGAGCUUGCUCUUGACACUUAGUGGCGAACGGGUGAGUAACGCGUGAGAAACCUGCCUCUCAGUGGGGGACAACAGUUGGAAACGACUGCUAAUACCGCAUAAUGUAUUCGGAGGGCAUCCUCUGGAUACCAAAGCUUUAUGUGCUGAGAGAUGGUCUCGCGUCUGAUUAGCUAGUUGGUGAGGUAACGGCUCACCAAGUCGACGAUCAGUAGCCGGUCUGAGAGGAUGAACGGCCACAUUGGGACUGAGACACGGUCCAGACUCCUACGGGAGGCAGCAGUGAGGAAUAUUGGUCAAUGGCCGAGAGGCUGAACCAGCCAUGCCGCGUGAAGGUCACGGCCCUAUGGGUCUUAAACUUCUUUUGUAAGGGAGCAAUAAGUUUCACGUGUGGGACGAUGAGAGUACCUUACGAAUAAGCAUCGGCUAACUCCGUG
rnacentral:rRNA from 1 species